rnacentral:lncRNA from 1 species
GUCCUGCAUUUUUUUUUAGUUGUAAUCUCUGUCCUGCCUUUUUAUUUUUCACUCUAUUCGGUCCUGCCUUUUUUUAUUAGUUUAUCCUGACUUUUUUACCUAAAUUGUCAUCCUGCUUUUUUUUUUUUUUUUUUUGGGCAAAGUGUCUCAUCCUGCCUUUUUUUUUACUCAAAACUCCUGUCCUGCCUAUUUUUUUCAAAUUUCAUCCUAGA